GACGAACGCUGGCGGCGUGCCUAAUACAUGCCAGUAGAACGCUGAAACUUGGUGCUUGCACCGAGCGGAUGAGUUGCGAACGGGUGAGUAACGCGUAGGUAACCUGCCUGGUAGCGGGGGAUAACUAUUGGAAACGAUAGCUAAUACCGCAUAAGAGUAGAUGUUGCAUGACAUUUGCUUAAAAGGUGCAAUUGCACCACUACCAGAUGGACCUGCGUUGUAUUAGCUAGUUGGUGGGGUAACGGCUCACCAAGGCGACGAUACAUAGCCGACCUGAGAGGGUGAUCGGCCACACUGGGACUGAGACACGGCCCAGACUCCUACGGGAGGCAGCAGUAGGGAAUCUUCGGCAAUGGACGGAAGUCUGACCGAGCAACGCCGCGUGAGUGAAGAAGGGUUUCGGAUCGUAAAGCUCUGUUGUAAGAGAAGAACGAGUGUGAGAGUGGAAAGUUCACACUGUGACGGUAUCUUACCAGAAAGGGACGGCUAACUACGUG
rnacentral:rRNA from 1 species